rnacentral:rRNA from 1 species
GGUUAAGCGACUAAGCGUACACGGUGGAUGCCCUGGCAGUCAGAGGCGAUGAAGGACGUGCUAAUCUGCGAUAAGCGUCGGUAAGGUGAUAUGAACCGUUAUAACCGGCGAUUUCCGAAUGGGGAAACCCAGUGUGUUUCGACACACUAUCAUUAACUGAAUCCAUAGGUUAAUGAGGCGAACCGGGGGAACUGAAACAUCUAAGUACCCCGAGGAAAAGAAAUCAACCGAGAUUCCCCCAGUAGCGGCGAGCGAACGGGGAGCAGCCCAGAGCCUGAAUCAGUAUGUGUGUUAGUGGAAGCGUCUGGAAAGGCGCGCGAUACAGGGUGACAGCCCCGUACACAAAAAUGCACAUAUUGUGAGCUCGAUGAGUAGGGCGGGACACGUGGUAUCCUGUCUGAAUAUGGGGGGACCAUCCUCCAAGGCUAAAUACUCCUGACUGACCGAUAGUGAACCAGUACCGUGAGGGAAAGGCGAAAAGAACCCCGGCGAGGGGAGUGAAAAAGAACCUGAAACCGUGUACGUACAAGCAGUGGGAGCACGCUUAGGCGUGUGACUGCGUACCUUUUGUAUAAUGGGUCAGCGACUUAUAUUCUGUAGCAAGGUUAACCGAAUAGGGGAGCCGAAGGGAAACCGAGUCUUAACUGGGCGUUAAGUUGCAGGGUAUAGACCCGAAACCCGGUGAUCUAGCCAUGGGCAGGUUGAAGGUUGGGUAACACUAACUGGAGGACCGAACCGACUAAUGUUGAAAAAUUAGCGGAUGACUUGUGGCUGGGGGUGAAAGGCCAAUCAAACCGGGAGAUAGCUGGUUCUCCCCGAAAGCUAUUUAGGUAGCGCCUCGUGAAUUCAUCUCCGGGGGUAGAGCACUGUUUCGGCAAGGGGGUCAUCCCGACUUACCAACCCGAUGCAAACUGCGAAUACCGGAGAAUGUUAUCACGGGAGACACACGGCGGGUGCUAACGUCCGUCGUGAAGAGGGAAACAACCCAGACCGCCAGCUAAGGUCCCAAAGUCAUGGUUAAGUGGGAAACGAUGUGGGAAGGCCCAGACAGCCAGGAUGUUGGCUUAGAAGCAGCCAUCAUUUAAAGAAAGCGUAAUAGCUCACUGGUCGAGUCGGCCUGCGCGGAAGAUGUAACGGGGCUAAACCAUGCACCGAAGCUGCGGCAGCGACGCUUAUGCGUUGUUGGGUAGGGGAGCGUUCUGUAAGCCUGCGAAGGUGUGCUGUGAGGCAUGCUGGAGGUAUCAGAAGUGCGAAUGCUGACAUAAGUAACGAUAAAGCGGGUGAAAAGCCCGCUCGCCGGAAGACCAAGGGUUCCUGUCCAACGUUAAUCGGGGCAGGGUGAGUCGACCCCUAAGGCGAGGCCGAAAGGCGUAGUCGAUGGGAAACAGGUUAAUAUUCCUGUACUUGGUGUUACUGCGAAGGGGGGACGGAGAAGGCUAUGUUGGCCGGGCGACGGUUGUCCCGGUUUAAGCGUGUAGGCUGGUUUUCCAGGCAAAUCCGGAAAAUCAAGGCUGAGGCGUGAUGACGAGGCACUACGGUGCUGAAGCAACAAAUGCCCUGCUUCCAGGAAAAGCCUCUAAGCAUCAGGUAACAUCAAAUCGUACCCCAAACCGACACAGGUGGUCAGGUAGAGAAUACCAAGGCGCUUGAGAGAACUCGGGUGAAGGAACUAGGCAAAAUGGUGCCGUAACUUCGGGAGAAGGCACGCUGAUAUGUAGGUGAAGCGACUUGCUCGUGGAGCUGAAAUCAGUCGAAGAUACCAGCUGGCUGCAACUGUUUAUUAAAAACACAGCACUGUGCAAACACGAAAGUGGACGUAUACGGUGUGACGCCUGCCCGGUGCCGGAAGGUUAAUUGAUGGGGUCAGCGCAAGCGAAGCUCUUGAUCGAAGCCCCGGUAAACGGCGGCCGUAACUAUAACGGUCCUAAGGUAGCGAAAUUCCUUGUCGGGUAAGUUCCGACCUGCACGAAUGGCGUAAUGAUGGCCAGGCUGUCUCCACCCGAGACUCAGUGAAAUUGAACUCGCUGUGAAGAUGCAGUGUACCCGCGGCAAGACGGAAAGACCCCGUGAACCUUUACUAUAGCUUGACACUGAACAUUGAGCCUUGAUGUGUAGGAUAGGUGGGAGGCUUUGAAGUGUGGACGCCAGUCUGCAUGGAGCCGACCUUGAAAUACCACCCUUUAAUGUUUGAUGUUCUAACGUGGACCCGUGAACCGGGUUGCGGACAGUGUCUGGUGGGUAGUUUGACUGGGGCGGUCUCCUCCUAAAGAGUAACGGAGGAGCACGAAGGUUGGCUAAUCCUGGUCGGACAUCAGGAGGUUAGUGCAAUGGCAUAAGCCAGCUUGACUGCGAGCGUGACGGCGCGAGCAGGUGCGAAAGCAGGUCAUAGUGAUCCGGUGGUUCUGAAUGGAAGGGCCAUCGCUCAACGGAUAAAAGGUACUCCGGGGAUAACAGGCUGAUACCGCCCAAGAGUUCAUAUCGACGGCGGUGUUUGGCACCUCGAUGUCGGCUCAUCACAUCCUGGGGCUGAAGUAGGUCCCAAGGGUAUGGCUGUUCGCCAUUUAAAGUGGUACGCGAGCUGGGUUUAGAACGUCGUGAGACAGUUCGGUCCCUAUCUGCCGUGGGCGCUGGAGAACUGAGGGGGGCUGCUCCUAGUACGAGAGGACCGGAGUGGACGCAUCACUGGUGUUCGGGUUGUCAUGCCAAUGGCACUGCCCGGUAGCUAAAUGCGGAAGAGAUAAGUGCUGAAAGCAUCUAAGCACGAAACUUGCCCCGAGAUGAGUUCUCCCUGACUCCUUGAGAGUCCUGAAGGAACGUUGAAGACGACGACGUUGAUAGGCCGGGUGUGUAAGCGCAGCGAUGCGUUGAGCUAACCGGUACUAAUGAACCGUGAGGCUUAACCUU